UUGAACGCUGGCGGCAUGCCUUACACAUGCAAGUCGAACGGCAGCGCGGACUUCGGUCUGGCGGCGAGUGGCGAACGGGUGAGUAAUACAUCGGAACGUACCCUGUUGUGGGGGAUAACUAUUCGAAAGAUUAGCUAAUACCGCAUACGACCUGAGGGUGAAAGUGGGGGACCGCAAGGCCUCACGCAGCAGGAGCGGCCGAUGUCUGAUUAGCUAGUUGGUGGGGUAAAGGCCCACCAAGGCGACGAUCAGUAGCUAGUCUGAGAGGACGAUCAGCCACACUGGGACUGAGACACGGCCCAGACUCCUACGGGAGGCAGCAGUGGGGAAUUUUGGACAAUGGGGGCAACCCUGAUCCAGCAAUGCCGCGUGUGUGAAGAAGGCCUUCGGGUUGUAAAGCACUUUUGUCCGGAAAGAAAUCGCGCUGGUUAAUACCUGGCGUGGAUGACGGUACCGGAAGAAUAAGCACCGGCUAACUACGUG
rnacentral:rRNA from 1 species